UACGGAGGGUGCAAGCGUUAAUCGGAAUUACUGGGCGUAAAGCGCACGCAGGUGGCUGAGUCAGUCGAUUGUGAAAGCCCUGGGCUUAACCUGGGAAUUGCAGUCGAUACUACUCAGCUAGAGUAUGGGAGAGGGCAGUGGAAUCCCCGGUGUAGCGGUGAAAUGCGUAGAUAUCGGGAGGAACAUCGGUGGCGAAGGCGGAUCUCUGGGCCUAACCUGACGCUGAGGCGCGAAAGCUAGGGGAGCAAACAGG
rnacentral:rRNA from 1 species